UGUUAAAAAUUGCUGUUAAUUUACGGCAGAAUUUCAACAGUAUAAUCCUGUUAUGUUCAAAAGCAGUACAUUACUGUUUUUUUCGUUUUUGUGAAAUGACGUAGACACAAUAUAACGGCAUUCUACUGUAUUUAUAACUCGAAGGAAAUAAAACAUUACUAUCCAGUAUUUUUGUAAACUGCAGUGAGCACGCCGGGACUUUCAUCCGUCUUGUUAACAGGCAAGUUCCCCUUUGCUUUGCGCGAUUUCAUAGACAAAAUACAUUACAUUUGCUACUGCAACUAAUCUGUAUAGUGGAUAUCGGAAGUGACACUAUCUUUUAUUUGCUCUUUUCAGUGAUAAACGCGCCAAAUGCGACAUCAUCGAGUGCAACUGGAUUUCUGACUCUGUGACUCGGAUUAUAUUAUUCCCAAUUACAGGGUUCAGGUGAAACACCAGGAAGAAGAAUCCAGCACUGGAUGAUCAGCCUUGAGGAGCACAUCAUUUGUGAGGGCAUCCAGCCGGCUUUUCUGUCUGGGCUUGCAGCUGAUUUUUCUACUUACAACAAUUUCAAUCUUCAAUACCAAGCUGAAGACGCAUGCACGUUGGAAUUUAUUCAAAGGUGGUUCAUCGAGAUAAAUCCGGAAAAGGGACCAGGGCUGGAGGAGUCAUAUCAAAGCUGAUGGGGAAGGUCACCCAGAAAAAGAAAACCGUGAACCCUCGUGUCUGCAGUCUACUUAAAAAAAUUUAUGGAUUUUGAGUUGGACUUUAUACAAGUAUUACACACCACAGACCACACACACACUCACAUCACACACACACGUUUGUUUUUGUGAAAAGUGGGGACAUCCCAUAAG